UACGUAGGGGGCAAGCGUUGUCCGGAUUUAUUGGGCGUAAAGAGCGUGUAGGAGGCCAUGCAGGUCAGCUGUGAAAACUCGAUGGCUCAACCUCGAGAUGUCGGUUGAAACCGUGUGGCUAGAGUCCGGAAGAGGAGAGUGGAAUUCCCGGUGUAGCGGUGAAAUGCGCAGAUAUCGGGAAGAACACCCGGUGGCGAAGGCGG
rnacentral:rRNA from 1 species